AUUGAACGCUGGCGGCAUGCCUUACACAUGCAAGUCGAACGGUAACGCGGGGCAACCUGGCGACGAGUGGCGAACGGGUGAGUAAUAUAUCGGAACGUACCCAAGAGUGGGGGAUAACGUAGCGAAAGUUACGCUAAUACCGCAUACGAUCUACGGAUGAAAGUGGGGGAUCGCAAGACCUCAUGCUCCUGGAGCGGCCGAUAUCUGAUUAGCUAGUUGGUGAGGUAAAGGCUCACCAAGGCGACGAUCAGUAGCUGGUCUGAGAGGACGACCAGCCACACUGGAACUGAGACACGGUCCAGACUCCUACGGGAGGCAGCAGUGGGGAAUUUUGGACAAUGGGCGCAAGCCUGAUCCAGCAAUGCCGCGUGAGUGAAGAAGGCCUUCGGGUUGUAAAGCUCUUUUGUCAGGGAAGAAACGGUAGGGGCUAAUAUCCUUUGCUAAUGACGGUACCGUAAGAAUAAGCACCGGCUAACUACGUGCCAGCCGCCGCCGUAAUAC
rnacentral:rRNA from 1 species